GAAAGAAAAUACAUUCAACAUAUUCAAAUAGCCUAUAUAAACUCAUUGCUUCAGUCAGUUAAAACAUCACCAUGAUCUGACAAGUUCCUUAAAAUUAAUUUUGCAACUAAGCACCCAAAUACAGGUACAAGCAGUGAUGUGCAAACGAGGAUGUUUUAUAACUGAUGAAGAUAAAGUGAAAGUAAAUCGAUUCACUUCGAUUUGGUGAACUGGUUCGACCGGUUCACUAAGAAGAUCCGGUCAAAUAGAACGAUUCGUUAGCAAACCUUACGUCACUGUGUGGCUGUCAAUCACCGCACCGGUGUGGAUACUGCACUUUGUUCACAGAUUCUACAUCUUGAAAAUAUGACCCAAAUAAGAGUUUUCACUGGAGAAUGUCAUCUAAACAAGGUGGUUGGACCAGUUCCUGUCCACUUCUUGGCAACCUUAUCUCUGCAAGAGCAAAGAACUGCAUAGAACACAUUCACCACGUGAACUAAAAAAACUGAUGCCAUUUCCAUGAAGUAGAUCCUAUUUCAAAACCAUAACUGAUGCUGUAAGCAAUAGCCUGAUAUUAGACUUAAAAAAAAUUCUGCUCAGCACAUGGUGUCAGGGAAAUGUCACAGUCACCACAAUCAACACAGUCAUAAGCACCUGGAUUUUGAUUCCCCGCACCUGCUGCAGUUCAUCAGCUCCCCUU
ensembl:lncRNA